AUUGAACGCUGGCGGCAGGCUUAACACAUGCAAGUCGAGCGAGCGGCGGACGGGUGAGUAAUGUAUGGGAAACUGCCCGAUGGAGGGGGAUAACUACUGGAAACGGUAGCUAAUACCGCAUACCAUCAGAUGUGCCAAGAUGGGAUUAGCUAGUAGGUGGGGUAAUGGCUCACCUAGGCGACGAUCCGUAGCUGGUAUGAGAGGAUGACGAGCCACACUGGUACGUGGACACGGGCAAGACUCCUACGGGAGGCAGCAGUGGGGAAUUUUGCACAAUGGGCGCAAGCCUGAUGCAGCCAUGCCGCGUGUAUGAAGAAGGCCUUCGGGUUGGAAAGCACUUUCAGCGAGGAGGCGUUACUCGCAGAAGAAGCACCGGCUAACUCCGUGCCAGCAGCCGCGGUAAUUC
rnacentral:rRNA from 1 species